AGAGUUUGAUCAUGGCUCAGAUUGAACGCUGGCGGCAGGCCUAACACAUGCAAGUCGAGCGGUAACACAGAGAGCUUGCUCUCGGGUGACGAGCGGCGGACGGGUGAGUAAUGUCUGGGAAACUGCCUGAUGGAGGGGGAUAACUACUGGAAACGGUAGCUAAUACCGCAUAACGUCGCAAGACCAAAGUGGGGGACCUUCGGGCCUCAUGCCAUCAGAUGUGCCCAGAUGGGAUUAGCUAGUAGGUGGGGUAACGGCUCACCUAGGCGACGAUCCCUAGCUGGUCUGAGAGGAUGACCAGCCACACUGGAACUGAGACACGGUCCAGACUCCUACGGGAGGCAGCAGUGGGGAAUAUUGCACAAUGGGCGCAAGCCUGAUGCAGCCAUGCCGCGUGUGUGAAGAAGGCCUUCGGGUUGUAAAGCACUUUCAGCGGGGAGGAAGGCGUUAAGGUUAAUAACCUUGGCGAUUGACGUUACCCGCAGAAGAAGCACCGGCUAACUCCGUGCCAGCAGCCGCGGUAAUACGGAGGGUGCAAGCGUUAAUCGGAAUUACUGGGCGUAAAGCGCACGCAGGCGGUCUGUCAAGUCGGAUGUGAAAUCCCCGGGCUUAACCUGGGAACUGCAUUCGAAACUGGCAGGCUAGAGUCUUGUAGAGGGGGGUAGAAUUCCAGGUGUAGCGGUGAAAUGCGUAGAGAUCUGGAGGAAUACCGGUGGCGAAGGCGGCCCCCUGGACAAAGACUGACGCUCAGGUGCGAAAGCGUGGGGAGCAAACAGGAUUAGAUACCCUGGUAGUCCACGCCGUAAACGAUGUCGAUUUGGAGGUUGUGCCCUUGAGGCGUGGCUUCCGGAGCUAACGCGUUAAAUCGACCGCCUGGGGAGUACGGCCGCAAGGUUAAAACUCAAAUGAAUUGACGGGGGCCCGCACAAGCGGUGGAGCAUGUGGUUUAAUUCGAUGCAACGCGAAGAACCUUACCUGGUCUUGACAUCCACAGAACUUUCCAGAGAUGGAUUGGUGCCUUCGGGAACUGUGAGACAGGUGCUGCAUGGCUGUCGUCAGCUCGUGUUGUGAAAUGUUGGGUUAAGUCCCGCAACGAGCGCAACCCUUAUCCUUUGUUGCCAGCGGUCCGGCCGGGAACUCAAAGGAGACUGCCAGUGAUAAACUGGAGGAAGGUGGGGAUGACGUCAAGUCAUCAUGGCCCUUACGACCAGGGCUACACACGUGCUACAAUGGCAUAUACAAAGAGAAGCGACCUCGCGAGAGCAAGCGGACCUCAUAAAGUAUGUCGUAGUCCGGAUUGGAGUCUGCAACUCGACUCCAUGAAGUCGGAAUCGCUAGUAAUCGUAGAUCAGAAUGCUACGGUGAAUACGUUCCCGGGCCUUGUACACACCGCCCGUCACACCAUGGGAGUGGGUUGCAAAAGAAGUAGGUAGCUUAACCUUCGGGAGGGCGCUUACCACUUUGUGAUUCAUGACUGGGGUGAAGUCGUAACAAGGUAACCGUAGGGGAACCUGCGGUUGGAUCACCU
rnacentral:rRNA from 1 species